rnacentral:rRNA from 1 species
UACGAAGGGUGCAAGCGUUAAUCGGAAUUACUGGGCGUAAAGGGUGCGUAGGCGGUUGUUUAAGUCUGUCGUGAAAUCCCCGGGCUCAACCUGGGAAUGGCGAUGGAUACUGGACAGCUAGAGUGUGUCAGAGGAUGGUGGAAUUCCCGGUGUAGCGGUGAAAUACGUAGAGAUCGGGAGGAACAUCAGUGGCGAAGGCGGCCAUCUGGGACAACACUGACGCUGAAGCACGAAAGCGUGGGGAGCAAACAGG